GACACUGAGGCUCGAAAGCGUGGGUAGCAAACAGGAUUAGAUACCCUGGUAGUCCACGCCGUAAACGAUGUAUACUAGUCGUUGGGUCCCUUGAGGACUUAGUGACGCAGCUAACGCAAUAAGUAGACCGCCUGGGGAGUACGGCCGCAAGGUUAAAACUCAAAUGAAUUGACGGGGGCCCGCACAAGCGGUGGAGCAUGUGGUUUAAUUCGAUGCAACGCGAAGAACCUUACCUGGUCUUGACAUACACAGAAUCUUGUAGAGAUACGAGAGUGCCUUCGGGAAUUGUGAUACAGGUGCUGCAUGGCUGUCGUCAGCUCGUGUCGUGAGAUGUUGGGUUAAGUCCCGCAACGAGCGCAACCCUUGUCCUUAGUUACCAGCGGGUUAAGCCGGGAACUCUAAGGAUACUGCCAGUGACAAACUGGAGGAAGGCGGGGACGACGUCAAGUCAUCAUGGCCCUUACGACCAGGGCUACACACGUGCUACAAUGGUAGGUACAGAGGGCAGCUACACAGCGAUGUGAUGCGAAUCUCAAAAAGCCUAUCGUAGUCCAGAUUGGAGUCUGCAACUCGACUCCAUGAAGUAGGAAUCGCUAGUAAUCGCGGAUCAGAAUGCCGCGGUGAAUACGUUCCCGGGCCUUGUACACACCGCCCGUCACACCAUGGGAGUUGAUUGCACCAGAAGUGGUUAGCC
rnacentral:rRNA from 1 species